ACCAUCCAAGGUCCCUUUCCUUCACGUUCCGAGGCCGGACGGAGGGAUGAGGCAGGGGAGGCCCGGGCAGCGCCGUUGCUGCUCCCCUCGCCGUCCGAAGCCAUGGAAACAGGGAAGGAGGACGGCGCCCGCAGAGGUACACAAAGCCCCGAGCGGAAAAGGCGAAGCCCAGUGCCGCGGGCGCCCAGCUCGAAGCUGAGGCCGGCGGCUGCGGCCCAGGCCAUGGAUCCCGUGGCGGGCGAGGCCCCGGGCGAGGCCUUCCUGGAACAACGACGGCCGGAGGGCGGCGGCGGGUCGGCGCGGCCUCGCUAUAGCCUGUUGGCCGAAAUCGGGCGCGGCAGCUACGGCGUGGUUUACGAGGCUGUGGCCGGACGCAGCGGGGCCCGGGUGGCGGUCAAGAAGAUCCGCUGCGAUGCCCCGGAGAACGUGGAACUGGCCCUGGCUGAAUUCUGGGCCCUGACCAGCCUCAAGAGACGCCACCAGAACGUCGUGCAGUUUGAGGAGUGCGUCCUGCAACGCAAUGGGCUAGCCCAGCGCAUGAGUCACGGCAACAAGAGCUCCCAGCUGUACCUGCGUCUGGUGGAGACCUCCCUCAAAGGAGAAAGGAUCCUGGGCUAUGCUGAGGAGCCCUGCUAUCUCUGGUUUGUCAUGGAGUUCUGUGAAGGUGGAGAUCUCAAUCAGUAUGUCCUGUCCCGGAGGCCAGACCCAGCCACCAACAAAAGUUUCAUGCUACAGCUCACGAGUGCCAUUGCCUUCCUGCACAAAAACCACAUCGUGCACAGGGACCUAAAGCCAGACAACAUCCUCAUCACUGAACGGUCUGGCACCCCCAUCCUCAAGGUGGCAGACUUUGGACUGAGUAAGGUCUGUGCUGGGCUGGCACAUCGAGGCAAAGAGGGCAAUCAAGACAACAAAAAUGUGAAUGUGAACAAAUACUGGCUGUCCUCAGCCUGCGGCUCAGACUUCUACAUGGCUCCUGAAGUCUGGGAAGGACACUACACAGCUAAGGCGGACAUCUUUGCUCUGGGCAUUAUCAUCUGGGCAAUGAUAGAAAGAAUCACUUUCAUUGACUCUGAGACCAAGAAGGAGCUCCUGGGGACCUACAUUAAACAGGGGUCUGAGAUCGUCCCUGUUGGUGAGGCGCUGCUAGAAAACCCAAAGAUGGAGUUGCAUAUUCCCCAGAAACGUAGGACUUCCAUGUCUGAGGGGAUCAAGCAGCUCUUGAAAGAUAUGUUGGCUGCUAACCCACAGGACCGGCCUGAUGCCUUUGAACUUGAAACCAGAAUGGACCAGGUCACAUGUGCUGCUUAAAUUCAGGCCUGACCAUCUUGGGUGUUUUUAAAAGUCGAUCCCUCGGGACCCACAGUCUCAUCAUGCCUCGGACAGGACAGCAGAGCGUACAGGUGGUGGCUUGACUGGUGACCUCCUAACAGCUUCGACCUCCGGCAAUGUGAAGCUUUUGUUUGGGAUUCCCCUCCUUUUGGUUGCGUUUUGUUUUUUGUUGUUGUUAUUUUUUUCCUGUCCUUUUUCUUUCUUUUUAAUUUAAGUCAUCGAGACUUCAGAAGAACAGAAAGUUAUGCUGUGGACAGGCAUCAUUUAAAGAAAUUCAAUGUGGACAAAGCAUGUGUAAAUUUUACUGUUCAUUUCUGUAAAAGGUUAGGGAGCGAUUUGAGUUGUGUCAUUUUCCUUCUGAUUUCUCUGUGCGUCUCAAGUUCUGCUUGUAGCAUCUCACUCCCUGGAGAAGAUCCAUCUCCCCAGAGAGUGUUUGGGGAUUCUCUUGGAAUAGAACAUGAAGACAUAGGAGUUUUCUGGGCCACCUUCCUCCCAGACAUAGGACAGCUGGACUCCUUGGUGGGCUGGUACUGGCCAGCCCUUGGACCUCACACAGGAGCAGAGGUGAAGAGCUGCCUGGAUGAGGAAGGCCAGGGCUUGGCCAGGAGGACUCCAGAAAGGAGCAUAGCCUGCAGUCCUCUUCCCUCAAGAGUACCUCCAGCCUCUCCUUCCUUCCAGGGUGCUGCUGGCUCUUGUUCUAGGUAAAUCUCCUGGUUAGUCCUCUCUUUGACUUGCUCUUCCCCUCGCCACCCCCAAAUCUGUCUGGUUAGCUGGCCCACACUUAGCUGCUGGGAGUCGGGAGGUGCAGCAACCUCCAAACAGGGACACUUCGUUAUUCAUCUCUCUAGGCCAGCAGAUUUGGGAGGCUGAGGCCCAGAGAUAACUAACUGCCUCAGACCCUGACCCCACCCCGGCUUUGAGGUCAGGGACUCCUGUCUGGAGAAUGCUCUUGGCAGGAAGUGGGGCGGGGGUGCCGGAUCCACAGCCCCCACUUAGGGAUGACCCCACUGCCCUCAGUUGCCUGAGGCCCUCCUCCCCCAGGGCUGCACAGGGUACCUGAAGUUGUAUGCCCCUUC